rnacentral:misc_RNA from 1 species
GAUGAAGAACGUAGCGAAAUGCGAUAAGUAAUGUGAAUUGCAGAAUUCAGUGAAUCAUCGAGUCUUUGAACGCACAUUGCGCCCCCUGGUAUUCCGGGGGGCAUGCCUGUCCGAGCGUCAUUGCCGCCCUCAAGCACGGCUUGUGUGUUGGGCCCCCGCCCCCCGGCUUCGGGGGGCGGGCCCGAAAGGCAGCGGCGGCACCGCGUCCGGUCCUCGAGCGUAUGGGGCUUUGUCACCCGCUCUGUAGGCCCGGCCGGCGCUUGCCGAUCAACCCAAAUUUUUAUCCAGGUUGACCUCGGAUCAGGUAGGGAUACCCGCUGAACUUAAGCAUAUCAAUAAGCGGAGGA